rnacentral:tRNA from 1 species
GGAAAUAGCUCAAUGGUAGAGAGCAUGCUUAGGCAUGCACGAGGUCCUGGGUUCAAUCCCCAGUACUUCCA